UCCCCGAUGGUCUAGCGGUUAGGAUUCCUGGCUCUCACCCAGGCGGCCCGGGUUCGACUCCCGGUCGGGGAG
rfam:Schistocephalus solidus strain NST_G2 genome assembly, scaffold: SSLN_scaffold0009958